rnacentral:rRNA from 1 species
UCACUGACAUUAGAUACCCGCGUAGUCCAGGGUGUAAACGCUGCAGACUUGGUGUUGGAAGCCCUUUGGGGGCAUUCAGUGCCGGAGAGAAGUUGUUAAGUCUGCUACUUGGGGAGUACGUCCGCAAGGAUGAAACUUAAAGGAAUUGGCGGGGGAGCACCGCAACGGGAGGAGCGUGCGGUUUAAUUGGAUUCAACACCGUAAAACUCACCAGGGAAGACUGUUACAUGAAGGCCGAGAUGAAGACUCUGCUAGAUUUUCAG